rnacentral:rRNA from 1 species
CCUUGUGUAUCCUGCCAGUAGUCAUAUGCUUGUCUCAAAGAUUAAGCCAUGCAUGUCUAAGUAUAAGCACUAGUACUGUGAAACUUCGAAUGGCUCAUUAAAUCAGUUAUCGUUUAUAUGAUUGUACCGUUACUACUUGCAUAGCCGUAGUAAUUCUAGAGGUUACAGUUGCGAAAAGUCCCGACUGUCUUCGGAAGGGAUGUAUUUAUUAGAGUAAAAACCAAUGUAGAUUUUGCCCGGUGUUGUGGUGAAUCAUAGUAACUAAUCGAAUCGCACGGUCUUUGCGCUGGCGAUGUUUUAUGCAAAUAUCUAUUCCAUCAACUGUCGAUGGUAAGGUAGUGACUUACCAUUGGUUGCAACGGGUGACGAAGAAUUAGGGUUCGAUUCCGGAGAGGGAGCCUGAGAAACGGCUACCACAUCCAAGUAAGGCAGCAGGCGCGCAGAUUACCCAAUCCUGACUCAGGGAGGUAGGGACAAGAUAUAACAAUACAAGGCUUUUGCAAGUCUUGCAAUUGGAAUGAGUAUAACCUAAAUCCUUUAACGAGGAUCCAUUGGAGGGUAAGUCUGUUGCCAGAAACCGCGGUAGAUCCAGCUUCAAUAGCGUACAUUAAAGUUGAGGCAGUUAAGAAGCCGUCAAUUGGAUCUUGGGAUAGCCCGGCCGGUCUGCCCCAAGGUAGGUUACUAGCCAAGCGUUUUGUCCUCGCAGAGACUUGGUGUGCUCUUACCUGAGUGUGUUCGGGAUCUGAAACGUUUACUUUUAAAAAAUGAGACUGUUCAAAGCAAGCCAGUGCGGGAAUACGUAAGCAUGGAAUAAUGGAAUAGGACUUUGGUUCUAAAAGGACGUAAAGACAGCAGAGUGACAAUAACUCUCAAAAAAGAAACAACAACUUUAUAAGACAUCGAAAGAUAACAUGAACUUCCCUAAGGUUGAUAACUGGUUGAUUUCACGUACAAAUGAAAACGUGUCGCGGACGUUGUAUUCACGCGGGACAUGUGGCUCUAGAGGAUUACAAGGGAUUUUAGAUAAAUUGUAAAUGUAGGUACCUAUUGAAGAUACUAUGGGUCGAAAAGGAGGUGUUUCAUUAGGCUGCCGAGCCUUGUGCAUUUUAGGUAGCCCAUAAAACCUGGCUGNNNNNNNNNNNCGGUUGAAAGAUUGACAAGUCAAACGUGUAAGACGGGCUAAGGAGUGUAUGUCAGAAUCACUGUACUUCGGGCUAGAAAUCCCACAUCAACUACGUGUCUUCGGCAGUGUCUGGUGUAAAAAUCACGUGAUUCCCUCAAAGGGUUUGGCAGCUAGAGGCUAAGGAGUCCGCAUUAACCUGAGGGAGUCCGCAUUAACAUUGAGGAGUCCGCAUUAACAUGCAGGGAGGCGGUAUUAACACUACAUUCGAUGUUAAUACCGACUCCCUCUAACCCUAUCCUUUAAAAAAAUUCAUAAAAAACUCAGGAUUAAAGUUCUGAAGUUGGAUUUUGG